rnacentral:rRNA from 1 species
UACGGAGGGUGCAAGCGUUAAUCGGAAUUACUGGGCGUAAAGCGCACGCAGGCGGACUUUCAAGUGAGAUGUGAAAUCCCCGGGCUCAACCCGGGAAUUGCAUUCGAAACUGGCAGACUAGAGUAUUGUAGGGGGGGGUAGAAUUCCAGGUGUAGCGGUGAAAUGCGUAGAGAUCUGGAGGAAUACCGAAGGCGAAGGCGGCCCCCUGGAAAAAGACUGACGCUCAUGUGCGAAAGCGUGGGGAGCAAACAGG